rnacentral:rRNA from 1 species
AGAGUUUGAUCCUGGCUCAGAAUCAACGCUGGCGGCGUGCCUCAGACAUGCAAGUCGAACGCGAAAGUCCCCUUCGGGGGACAAGUAGAGUGGCGCACGGGUGAGUAACACGUAGGUAAUCUACCUUCGGAUGGGGAAUAACAAUCGGAAACGGUUGCUAAUACCGCAUAAUGCAGCGGCACCUAAUGGUGACAGUUGUUAAAGCGGGGGAUCGAAAGACCUCGCGUCUGAAGAGGAGCCUGCGGCGGAUUAGCUAGUUGGUAGGGUAACGGCCUACCAAGGCUACGAUCCGUAGCCGGCCUGAGAGGGCGGUCGGCCACACUGACACUGACAUACGGGUCAGACUCCUACGGGAGGCAGCAGUCGGGAAUUUUGGGCAAUGGGCGAAAGCCUGACCCAGCAACGCCGCGUGAAGGAUGAAAUCCCUCGGGAUGUAAACUUCGCAAGAACGGGAAGAAUAAGUAGGGGACAAUACCCCCUAUGAUGACGGUACCGUUUGUAAGCUCCGGCUAACUCCGUGCCAGCAGCCGCGGUAAUACGGGGGGAGCAAGCGUUGUUCGGAUUUA